GCCCUCGUAGCUCAGGGGACCAGAGCGCCUCCGUCCUAAGGAGGGCGUCGCAGGUUCGAGUCCUGCCGAGGGCA
rnacentral:tRNA from 1 species